UAACAUGAGAGUUUGAUCCUGGCUCAGGAUGAACGCUGGCGGCGUGCUUAACACAUGCAAGUCGAACGAAGCAUCCUUCUUCGGAGGGAUGACUGAGUGGCGGACGGGUGAGUAACGCGUGGGUAACCUGCCCUAUACAGGGGGAUAACAGCUGGAAACGGCUGCUAAUACCGCAUAAGCGCACAGCACCGCAUGGUGCAGUGUGAAAAACUCCGGUGGUAUAGGAUGGACCCGCGUCUGAUUAGCUGGUUGGCAGGGUAACGGCCUACCAAGGCGACGAUCAGUAGCCGGCUUGAGAGAGUGGACGGCCACAUUGGGACUGAGACACGGCCCAGACUCC
rnacentral:rRNA from 1 species